rnacentral:tRNA from 1 species
GUGCCGUGGCUCAAUGGCAGAGCAGCUAUCUUGAAAAUAGUGUCAGCAACUUCAACUUUGCAGGUUCGAUUCCCGCACGGCACA